CAGCAAUGGCAGAUCUGAGCUGCAUCUGUGACCUACCCCACAGCUCACUGCCAUGAUGGAUCCUUAACCCACUGAGUGAGGCCAGGGAUCAUACCCGCAUCCUCCUGGAUACUGUUCGGGUUCCUUAUGGCUCAGCUACAACACAAACUGCUUUUGGAACUAUCUUCUCUCCCUUGGUUAUCUGGAAUUGGGGUGGGGGUGGGGAGUUGUUUCUCCAUAACAUAAAAUCUCCUGGGGUGGAAGGAGUUAAUUUAUUCAAGGGGGUUUGGGGAAAGGAGACUUAAAGGUGUCUCCGCUGGCGAAGGGUCCUAUGCAAGCAGGAGAGAACUGUCCCCUGGGUCUUGGCUCCAUCAAAGUGGUGGUCAAUGCAGGGUUCACCACAUGCCCAAGGCCCCUGGGAAUCCCAGCCUCCCCGCUAAUUGUGACAUUUCGCGGGCCAUUGUCGGAGGCCUAAUUGCCUGCCACAGAACACAGCUCAGCCAUUUCGCCUGCUGGUGGGGGCUGCUCAGUGCCGGCCUCCACUGUUCGCGGUGGCCCGGCGCCAACAAGCAGUCCUGGAACAAACCUGCAGCGGCCGGCAGGCGUGGCCCAUCUUUAUGGGCGCCCCAUGAGGGCCCUCAGUGUGUGCGUGUCUGUGCACGUCUGCGCAGACCUGUGGGCCUGGGAGAUGUCCUGGGCUCAGCCCUCAGCGAACUUCAAGGUUGGGGGGUCAUGGAGGUGUCCGGGUUUAGGGUGGGCGGAGGUGUGGCAGAGGGGCCCGCGCAGUGAUGGAGACUCCAGAGGCAGGCGGGUGGGUGUUCAGAGAGGGGCGGGGGCGGGAUGCCCGCGGAUAGAUGGAGCAAGGCCAAGGGCUCUGUGCGCCCCCCUCCGCCCGAGCCGCAGCGUCCCAAAGCCAGACCCUGGGCCGACCCUGUGCUGCGACCUCGCAGUCAGCCCCCCGGCUCCUUCCGAGACCUCCCAGCUCACGAGAUAAGAGGAAAUUUCGCCAGAGAUCCAUGUGAAAAUAGGUGUAUUUCUGGAUAAGCAGCGAGCCUGAAAAACGGCUGAGCCAGAAUCUGCUCUGCUGACAGAAGAUCUAUGUACCAAAUUCCUCUUCAAAAUCUGUUUCUCCGGAGCUGUGCCGAUCUGGGGGAAGUUCUUGGUGUCAGGUGCCUGGGCUGCCGCUGCUCCAACCUUUCCUGGGCCACUGUUUCCCAGCGUGAGUUCUGGUCACGUUAGGCUGCAGCAGCAGCGCAGGCCGGGCUGGGAGCAGAAAAGUCAAGAGGGAUUUGAAUGGCAAAAAGGUCAUUCUCAUGCAUUACCCUGGCUGGGUCGGAAGUUGGCGUGAUGCAGCGUGACACCCAUCCUGGCGGCUGAGAGAAUAAGUGAUGGCUAUAUUUAUGUUUCCAUCUAAAUGCAUGGAUCAAAGCAGACACUUUAAUCUAUUCAACAACAGCCCGAGGAUUAAAAAGUUGCAGGCAAAUCACACUCUUAAAUUGGUAAUAUAUUUUUGCUUGUCACUUGACAAAUCAUUUUAGAGAGUGACUCCAGGCCGGGUGGGGGACCUGGAGAUUUGAACUUGGCUCUCUGCUGUAGCGGGCCCCGGCACCAUAGAAUGUGACAUGAAUCCCCUCACUUGCCAUAGUCCCUGUGAGUCAUGGCACAGGACUCCUAAAAGGGGUGGGGGAGCUAGUGGGGAGCAACAGGCCUAGGGUCACAUCUCCAAAUCUGUUUUAAUCUCCAAACAGCCUAGCAGGUGGGUGCUGUAAAGACUCCCAUUUUACAGAGCAGGAAAACCAGAUCGUGGCUUACCUGAGCCACACAAUAAUACGUUAGAGAGUGGGAUGCAAAGCUAGAUGUCCCGACUCCAAGUACAGUGCUCUUGUCUCUGCUGGAGCUGCAAGGACCGCAGAGAGGAGCAGAGACUCCUCAGCCACUUGGUUUGUGACUGUUAGCAAGUUCCUUUACUUCCCAGUUUCCUCAUCUGCAAACCAGAGAUAAUGAUGGCAUCCAUCUCCUGGGGUUGCCGUCAGGAAUAAAUCAGAUGACGCAGGGGAGGCAUAUGGUGAGAACACAUGUUUGUGCUGAGCUCUGAAGGACAGGACCAGACAGUGGUGUGUCUGGAGGGUGGGAAAGGAACUCAAAAGCGUGACAUUUGAGGAACAGUUGAAGUAACUGGGGCUGCUGAGUCAGGAAUAGAGAAGGUGUCUCCUAACGUAGGCUGGAUUGUGGAAAAAAAAAAAAAAAGGGAGAGUUGAUUUGCUCCAUGUGGCUCCAAGAGGGACAACUGAGUCAUUAAAGAGAUUGAUGGAUUUCAGCUAGAGAAAAGCGAGAAAUUACUAGUCAGAGUUGAGCAAAGAGGAAAUGAGGAGCUCAGGGUUCUGGGAGGUGUGGGGGUUAAGGCCAGAUGAGCACUUGGUGAUGAGGUACCAAUAGACACGCUUGUCCAGGCUUGACAUUUAGACCAGAUUUCCUUUAAAGUUCUUUCCAAGCAGCAGAGUCUAAAAUUCCAUGGUUGUAAGGUCAGCUCUCAAUCAUUUCCGGCAAUAGAACAAGGAUAGUUGGGUAGUCUACUGGGAAAAAAAAAUCUUUUUUUUUAAGGCAUUCUUUAUAUUUAAUGAUUUAUUUUUUUUUCUUUUUUCUUUUUUGGCCGCAUAGGUCAGGUGCUUAGUGUGGGAUCUCAGUUUCCAGACCAGGGACUGAACUGGACGGCAGUGGUGGAAGUGCCCAGUCCUAACCACUAGAUCGCCAGAAAACUCCCUCAUAAUUUAAUUCUAUUGAUUUAACCUGUGGGGUAUGUGGGGUGGCAUGGUGGUUCAGAAGUGGGCCAGGCGGCACGGGAAUGGCAAGGCAUCUGCUCUGAAAGGAGGUAAGCUAGCGGUGGGUGAAGGAAGAAUGUCUAUCCCCACCAGAUAUUGGCCAAAAUGGUCUGAGGCACUCUGGCCAGUGCCGGCCAACGGAAAAACCUUGGACUUGCAGCUCUGGAGACUUGGGUUUCCAUCUGGCUCCUUCUCUUAAUAUCUGUGUAUCCGCCUCAAAUCCCCUAAUGUCUCUAAGCCUCAGUUUCUCCAUGUGGGAAGCAGCUUCCUUCCCUGUUCACCUUUUAGAAGCGGUGUGCUAACUGGGGAAAAGCAGGCCUUGCUGCUGCCUUGGCUUUGGGAGACCGGCGCUGCUCCUGCAAGAGAGGGGGCGCCUUGAGCUCCCCGCAGCCGACUGGGCCCUCGUCGUCUCUCGGGGCCCCCUCCCCUAUGCGGUCCCGGGCUGCGGCUGCGGGGCGCAGGCGCGGGCGUCGGGGGCGGGGCCUCCGCCAAGGCGCGCGGCCAAAUCGCACCACCUGUCUGCGCGGAAACCGAGCGCGGGUGUCGCGUUUGGAGCGCAGGAGCGGAACCAGCAGUCCUCCUCUCCUUGCCUUUUGGGGCCAGUGGGCAUGUCCAGGGAUGGGGUCACGCACAGGUGUCUUACAGAGAAAUGUGCAUCUCGGAGUCUGUCAACAAAAUUUUUAUUUCAAGUCUGUGCAACGUGAGGAUUGUUGAAUUUCUGUCCUUCUGGUAUUUAUGGAGGACCCACAAAAAGAACUACUCUGAGUAAAUAAACAGAGAAGAUUAAAGGCUGUCCUCUAUGGGGGGCACCGUUUAUGAGGCAACAAACCAGGAGAGUUGUCUCUGGGAUUUUGUGAUGCUGCUCCAGCCCUGCAGUGGAAACACAUCUCAUUUACGAGUCAUUUCAGGAAGUUUAGGCUCCUCAGCUUCUGAAUCGUAGCAUCCGGAGGCUCUGAGUCUAUGUGUCUGUUGUGGGAGUGUCCCUGCGAACACACAGAGAAGAAAGUGUACUGGUUUCCUAGGGCUGCUGCAGACUCGGUGGCUUAAACAACAGGAAUGUGCUGUUCUGGAGGCUGCAAGGCCAGGAUCAAGGUAGGGCAGAGUGGGCUCCUCUGAGGGCUGGAGGGAAGACCUGCUUCAGGCCUGUUGGCUCAGCUGUUGUCUCAUCCCUGUGUCUUCAUGGCAUCUUUUCUCAAUGCAUGUCUGCCACGCUGUCUCAGUUUCUCCCUUUUUAUAUGGACAUCUGUCCUUUUGAGUUAGGGCCCAUCCUAAUGACCUCAUUUAAACUCAAACUCUUAUCUCCAAGUCCUGUCACCUGCUGAUGCAUUGGGGGCUUGGACUUCUACAUAGCAUUUUUAGGGGACACAGUCCAACCCAUAAUGUGGAGUGAGCAGGUGCCUGAGGGCUUGAUUCAGAAAAGAGCAGCAAGAACAACACCCCCAAAGCUUGGAAGGGAACAGAGUGAGGGCAGAGACCAGGCUCACUUCUACCCUCAGGCAGCCCUCUGCACAGGUCCCUCCCUUUGCCCCCUCACCUGGGGCUGCUUGCCUUCUAGGUUAUGAGUGUGUGGGUAUGAGGGGAUGUGUGGGACAACACACAAGGGAGAGAAAGUAUAUGUGGUCCAGUUCUGCACACACAAGGCACACUGCAGUCUAUGCAGGAGAUGCCCCAUAAACAUGACUCUUAAGUGAUGUGGGGGUCUUGAGGGGGAUAGCAGGGAGGGGCAGGGGUCUCUCUGUUGGUACCUUUUGGUUACAAAGUAUGUGGAAUGCUGCAGGCUUGGCCAUCUCCAUUCCUGCUUUGACACUGGCUGGGAAGAGCAGAGAGAUCAGGAAUACUGGGGAGAAAGGGCUUCCCAUAAUACUCAGGCCAGGUGGGGCCCAGAGCUUGUUCCUGACAUUGACAAGCAUAUGGCUCCCUCCCUCCCUCCAUCCCCCCUCUCCUUGUCUGUACCCAGAGAUCCACCAGGUAGAGUGUAGGGGGAGUCUGCUGCUACCAGGUGUGAUGCCAUAUUUAUCAAGGUGAGUUCCUAGAAAGGUACAGGAUGCUGAGCAUGCUAGGCAAGCUGUCUGGGCCAGCUGCUCCAUUCCUGGCUAGCCACUGGAAGGAGGAGAUUCUGGAAUGUCACCCUAAACAAUAAUACCCUGAUUUAAACAAUAGUACCCUGAUUUGUAGAGUUUGCCAAUUUCUGUGCUGUAAAGACUUCCAUCAUAACUGAUUUCAUGCUAACAACAUCAAGUCAAAACAGGCUCACAGAUCUGAAAAUUUAACAUUAAUACCUUCCUAUCCCUGGUAUAAAGAAGGAACUGAGGCCCAGAAGUAGAUUAGCCCAAGGUCACAUAGCAAGUUGAUUAGGGGCUCAGCUGGACUAUGUGGCCAAAUUGUGUUGGAAUAUGUCUGUCUUCCCAGUGUCACCAUUAAUAAUGGGUCCUCUGAGACAGUGGGUCAGGGAAAUGAGUGGCAGACUGGCCAUCCAGUGGGAUAGCUAUGGGAGCUCUGAUCACCAGCAUGUCCUAAUAAUAACACCCAACAUCACAGAGCCACUAGUAGUUUACCAAGUGCCUUCUUACCUGUUAUCUCUAAAUUUAAUUUCCACAGCAACCUGGGGGGCACGUGUUGUUAUUACAUAUUACAGAGUAAUUGUCUGAUGUCUAGGUCAUGUGAUCACUAAGUGGCUGUGCAUUCACCCAAACCUAGGUCUUCUGAGACCAGUCCUGCUUCUUCCUACUUCUCAGGAUGCUGAGACCAUGAUGUUACUUCUCAGGAUUCUGGGCCAGGAUGCUUCUCCAGUAGCCUGACUAUUCUCCACCUAUAGAAGACCUAGAGCCCCUAUGCCAUCCACGAUGCUAUCAGUCUAGUGAAGAGGUUGCUCAGUUAGUACUUACUGGACCAUGCCUUGGACCAUGGCCAGGGGGCUAACCUUUACCUUCUGCUAUUCCCUGAGGGUGGUGCCCUUGAUGCCUGGCCACUCUCAUCCCACCUGGCCUCAUCUCACCCAGGACUGGGACCCCCAGCUUACUUCACCGCAGGUCUUCUCAGGGCUGUCUCCAUCCCCUACAGCCUCCCCAGGCCUUUCUUCCAAGGACUUAGCUGACACAGGUGAGGAAGGCAUUCAUGGUGUCAUUUUACUGUAGUUCCUUUCCUGGAAUAACUUAGCUUCCUGAUCCAGGAAGUCUCAGCCCCAGGCCCGUCUACAUCUCUCAGGCUGGGCUCAGCAUAUUAAAGGGAACUGUAGCUUGUUUGGAAGAUAGGCAGACAGACACACAGAAGAACAGAGGGAGGAAAAGAGAGAAAGGCACCGAGGAAGAGAGACAUGAAGUCAGAUAACCAAAGCCUAUAUGUGCUAGGCACUGUGCUAAGUCCUUAUAGUAACCCUCUGAGGUAAAUACUUUCUGAUCCCCAUCUGAGAGUUGAGGAAAUUAAGGAGGCUAGGGAAAUUAAGUAUCUUGCCCAAUAUGAUACAGCCAAUGACUAUGAAACAAACUCUGUAUAUCUGUUAUUAUCCAUUACACUACCGGGCAUUCUGGUUAAGAAAAGGGAGGCCAGAGGGAGUGAGACAAAGAGAUUGAGAGGUGAGAGGGUAAGUGAUGAGACUAGCUGUCCACCCAGCUUGGGGUGCCUUGGUCGAGAGGCAGGGUGCAAUGUACCAAGGAGAAAGUGAACCUGAUGAGAAGUCAGGAUAGCCUUUGCCAACUGUGUGGCCUUGGACCAGUUACUUCACCUCUCUCAGUCCUUUGGCAGGCAGCUGUGCACAUGUACCUGGAGAAGCCUGCUCACAACUUGCAGGAGCCAGGUAGGCAAAAAGGACUCUGUCCUCCAAAUUAUGGGGAUGUGUGCUCUGACUACUACUUCUGAUCACAGAGGUACAGACAAAAGACAGGUGUCCAUUUUUUUGUGCCUCUCUUAUUGUUGCAAGCCCUUCCCCCUCUGGCUGAAGUGACUUUCACAGUAUUUAAGAGACCAGCACCUUCUGACGCUUAAUUUUCCUGUUUUUUUCUUCUUUUGGGAGCCAGAUAUUAAAAACUAGGACAUUUGAAACCAACUCCAUCUAUGAAGAAAAUUAGAAAAGUGAUAGUGACUGCCCAGGAAAAGGCAGUCAGGAAAAACCUGACUUUAAGUUUACAUCUUAGGUGAUCCUUGACACAGAGAUAGCCUACAGCAACCAAAACAGCAAAACAAAACAAUAAUAAAGUCAGCAAACCCUUGGAUUUCCAUAGUUACCAGAUUAUUAGAUUCAAAUAACCAGUGUUCAAAAAAAUAAAAAAAGACAUACAAAUAAGAAAAUGUGGUCCAUUCAAAGGAAAAAAAAAUCAGAAGAAACAUCUUUGAAAAAGACCUGAUGUACUGGUACCACACUGUCUUGAUUACUGUAGCUUUAUAGUAUUGUCUGAAGUCUGGGAGAGUUAUGCCUCCUGCUUGGUUUUUGUUCCUCAGGAUUG